rnacentral:pre_miRNA from 1 species
CUUGUUAAAAUGCAGAUUCUGAUUCAUGGGCCUGAGAUUCUGCAUUUUUAGCAAGCU